GGAUGGCCGAACGUCAAUGUGCAUCGUCAAAAACAAAGCAUAGUGCUGGCGCUUAUUAUGAUGUCAUCUCCUGUGAUACACACUCAUGCCACAGCAGAGGAGACCAAUGAAAAACAGUUCUUCAGGGCUGUUUCUGCAAAAGACACUACACAGCAGUGUGCUAAAGGAGGCUGGAGACCUUUUGGAUGCAUCAUUACCUUUUCAGGUUAACUAUUGCAGGUACAUAGCCAUAACCAAUCACUGACAGUUUUUCUGCAUUGUAUAAGCACAGAUAUUCUGGAGAUCUUAAAAAAUCUCUGUUGUGGACUCAUUCGUCACAACAACUUUGUAUUCGUGAGAUUUUUCUUUAU